rnacentral:rRNA from 1 species
UACGUAGGGUGCGAGCGUUGUCCGGAAUUAUUGGGCGUAAAGGGCUCGUAGGCGGUUUGUCGCGUCGGGAGUGAAAACCCAGGGCUUAACCCUGGGCUGGCUUUCGAUACGGGCAGACUAGAGGUAUGCAGGGGAGAACGGAAUUCCUGGUGUAGCGGUGAAAUGCGCAGAUAUCAGGAGGAACACCGGUGGCGAAGGCGGCACUCUGGGCCGGUACUGACGCUGAGGAGCGAAAGCGUGGGGAGCGAACAGG